rnacentral:rRNA from 1 species
CCUACGGGAGGCAGCAGUGAGGAAUAUUGGUCAAUGGACGAGAGUCUGAACCAGCCAAGUAGCGUGAAGGCUGACUGCCCUAUGGGUUGUAAACUUCUUUUAUAUGGGAAUAAAACGUUCCACGUGUGGGAUUUUGUAUGUACCAUAUGAAUAAGGAUCGGCUAACUCCGUGCCAGCAGCCGCGGUAAUACGGAGGAUCCGAGCGUUAUCCGGAUUUAUUGGGUUUAAAGGGAGCGUAGGUGGAUUGUUAAGUCAGUUGUGAAAGUUUGCGGCUCAACCGUAAAAUUGCAGUUGAAACUGGCAGUCUUGAGUACAGUAGAGGUGGGCGGAAUUCGUGGUGUAGCGGUGAAAUGCUUAGAUAUCACGAAGAACUCCGAUUGCGAAGGCAGUUCACUGGACUGCAACUGACACUGAGGCUCGAAAGUGUGGGUAUCAAACAGGAUUAGAUACCCGAGUAGUC